ensembl:lncRNA
GGCUGAAGGCAGCGAGGGAUCCACCCAACACCCUCACAGCCCGCGGGACUGAGGGCUGCGUGGACUCCCAGCGGCAUCAACCAGGUUUCUGUUUUGCUGCUCUCAGCAAGAAAUGCAUUUCCAACAUCUCCGCAGGCAGUGAGUGCUGAGUGGCUGUAAUAUUUGUGACCAUAAGAGACAUUAACACCCGGUACUUAUCCUUCCUGCUAUUUACAUACUCAUUAUUAGGAUCACGACCUUUCAAAAACUUUUGUGUUACAACUGCAAAGUUGGGCUUUGUUGUCCUCUUGGGCACAUAACAAAAUGAAAGCAGCUUCGGGG